CCUACGGGUGGCAGCAGUGGGGAAUCUUGCACAAUGGGGGAAACCCUGAUGCAGCGACGCCGCGUGAGUGAAGAAGUAUUUCGGUAUGUAAAGCUCUAUCAGCAGGGAAGAAAAUGACGGUAACUGAUUAAGAAACACCGGCUAACUACGUGCCAGCAGCCGCGGUGAUACGUAGGGGGCAAGCGGUAUCCGGAUUUUCUGGGUUUAAAGGGAGCGUAGACGGGUGCGCAAGUCUGGAGUGAAAUGCCGGGGGUUAACCCCGGAUCUGCUUGGGAAACUGUGCAGCUAGAGUGCAGGAGAGGUGAGUGGAAUUCCUAGUGUAGCGGUGAAAUGCGUAGAUAUUAGGAGGAACACCAGUGGCGAAGGCGGCUUACUGGACUGUAACUGACGUUGAGGCUCGAAAGCGUGGGGAGCAAACAGGAUUAGAUACCCUGGUAGUC
rnacentral:rRNA from 1 species